rnacentral:rRNA from 1 species
UUCGGCGCCUAAGGAUGAGUCUGCGGACUAUCAGGUUGUAGUCAGGGUAACGACCUGACUAGCCUACGACGGAUACGGGUUGUGAGAGCAAUAACCCGGAGAUGAUAUCUGAGACACGAUAUCAGGCCCUACGGGGCGCAGCAGGCGCGAAAACUUCGCAAUGUGCGAAAGCACGACGAGGGAAUCCCAAGUGCUGGCUCGUUAGAGUCAGCUGUUUUUAUGUCUAAAAAGCAUAGAGAGUAAGGGCUGGGUAAGACGGGUGCCAGCCGCCGCGGUAAUACCUGCAGCUCUAGUGGUGGCCGCUAUUAUUGGGCCUAAAACGUCCGUAGCCUGUUUAUUAAAUGCCUAGGUAAAUUGUGUGGCUUAACCAUACGAAUUCUGGGUAGACUGGUAAACUUGAGACCGGGAUAAGCUAGAGGUACUUCUGGG